rnacentral:tRNA from 1 species
GACCGGCUGGCGCAAUGGUAGCGCGUGGCCCUCCUAAGGCCAAGGUUGCAGGUUCGAGUCCUGCGUCGGUCG